rnacentral:rRNA from 1 species
UACGUAGGGGGCAAGCGUUGUCCGGAAUCAUUGGGCGUAAAGAGCGUGUAGGCGGCCCGGUAAGUCCGCUGUGAAAGUCGGGGGCUCAACCCUCGAAUGCCGGUGGAUACUGUCGGGCUAGAGUGCGGAAGAGGCGAGUGGAAUUCCUGGUGUAGCGGUGAAAUGCGCAGAUAUCAGGAGGAACACCGAUUGCGAAGGCAGCUCGCUGGGACGUAACUGACGCUGAGGAGCGAAAGCGUGGGGAGCGAACAGG